GAUGAACGCUGGCGGCGUGCCUAAUACAUGCAAGUCGAGCGAACAGACGAGGAGCUUGCUCCUCUGACGUUAGCGGCGGACGGGUGAGUAACACGUGGAUAACCUACCUAUAAGACUGGGAUAACUUCGGGAAACCGGAGCCAAUACCGGAUAAUAUAUUGAACCGCAUGGUUCAAUAGUGAAAGACGGUUUUGCUGUCACUUAUAGAUGGAUCUGCGCCGCAUUAGCUAGUUGGUAAGGUAACGGCUUACCAAGGCAACGAUGCGUAGCCGACCUGAGAGGGUGAUCGGCCACACUGGAGCUGAGACACGGUCCAGACUCCUACGGGAGGCAGCAGUAGGGAAUCUUCCGCAAUGGGCGAAAGCCUGACGGAGCAACGCCGCGUGAGUGAUGAAGGUCUUCGGAUCGUAAAACUCUGUUAUUAGGGAAGAACAAAUGUGUAAGUAACUAUGCACGUCUUGACGGUACCUAAUCAGAAAGCCACGGCUAACUACGUG
rnacentral:rRNA from 1 species